rnacentral:misc_RNA from 1 species
GAUGAAGAACGUAGCGAAAUGCGAUACGUAAUGUGAAUUGCAGAUUUCAGUGAAUCAUCGAAUCUCUGAACGCACAUUGCGCCCGCCAGUAUUCUGGCGGGCAUGCCUGUUCGAGCGUCAUUUCAACCAUCAAGCGCCUCGCUUGUGUUGGGGCCCUGCGGCUGCCGCAGGCCCCUAAAUCCAGUGGCGGGCUCGUCGUCGUACCGAGUGCAGUAAACAUCCUCGCUCAGGGAACCCGACGGGUGCCGGCCGUGAAACCCCCCCUCCUCAAGGUUGACCUCGGAUCAGGUAGGAAUACCCGCUGAACUUAAGCAUAUCAAUAAGCGGAGGA